GUGCUCGCUGUAGCAGCCCGUAUGCUAAAAUUGGAACGAUGCAGAGAUUAGCAUGGCCCCCUACGCAAGGAUGACACACAAAUUCAUGAAGCAUUCCAUAUUUUU
ensembl:snRNA U6 U6 spliceosomal RNA